UACAGAGGUCUCGAGCGUUUGUUCGGAUUCAUUGGGCGUAAAGGGUGCGUAGGUGGCGCCGUAAGUCGGGUGUGAAAUUUCGGAGCUUAACUCCGAAACUGCAUUCGAUACUGCGGUGCUUGAGGACUGGAGAGGAGACUGGAAUUCAUGGUGUAGCAGUGAAAUGCGUAGAGAUCAUGAGGAAGACCAGUGGCGAAGGCGGGUCUCUGGACAGUUCCUGACACUGAGGCACGAAGGCCAGGGGGAGCAAACGGGG
rnacentral:rRNA from 1 species